AGGGAGACACAGAAUCUGAAACAGGCUCCAGGCUCUGAGCUGUCAGCAAAGAGCCCGACGCGGGGCUCGAACUCACGGACUGUGAGAUCAUGACCUGAGCCAAAGUCGGCCGCUUAACCGACUGAGCCACCCAGGCGCCCCAAGAGAAUACUUUUUUACAGCAUGGAGCCAGGGGCCCUGUGUGGGACACUGGGCACACAGCAGUGAACAGGACAGACAUGGUCCCUGCCUUUUUUGAAGUACUCACCCCAGUGAGGAGUACAGAUAGACGAGCAGAUAGAGAGGCAAUGACAAAAAUUAAGAGAUCACAGAUGUGAUAUACUCAGCACAGCAUGUACAAUGGUACGCAUUUUCUUCCCUUUGGAUGCCGGAAUCUUGAGAGGAGUAAGUGCAAUGUAAAAUGCAUUCACCUUGAGAAUUGUAUUUAGCUUUUUGAUGUUUUCCAAAUCUAGUGAGCCCUUCGCUAAUUAAAAAGAGGCUUCCCUUCUGCAAAGAAAAAUUCAUAUCUGAUCUUAUAUUUGCUUUAUGAAGAAGCCCUUCCCUAUGUUUUUCUGCCACCACUGGCUUAAAUGGUCCAGUGUGCUGCCCAUGCCCACGUGGCCAGACUUCUCCAGGGCAAAUCCAGCUACAAAGCGUUUUUUAAUUUCUCAGAAGUGCAAUGUGCUCCCUCACAUCCAGGCCUUCCCAUUUAAAGCUUAAAAUGAUUGUUCUCCCUUCUCUUCCUUCCUCUUUCAAAAUGAGGAGCUCUCCGUCAGACCGCCGCUGCGCCGCCACCCCAGAGGCCAGCCCCGCUCAGCCUAUCCAGCUGGCCAGGCUCGGCAACGUGCUGGGUGGGACCGGCUCGCGGGGACAGUGCACGCAGGUGCGCGUGGAGGUCACGGAUCACAGGAGCAGUUCCACCCUCCACAAGGGAAUUUCAUUCAGAAGAAGGAUAGACUACUUAACGUAUUUGAAGAAAUUGAGAAGAAAUAUGCACUGGGGGAUAUUUGAACAUUGAAUUCAUGCGUCUUCAUUGAAAACUUUUUAUGGAAGCAUGUAACUUGCGUACCCAAAGGGUACAUAUCAUAAACAUACAACUUGAUAUUUUUCACAAAAAUGAACACAGCCUUGUAACUACCUUCAAGAGAAAGAAAUGGAAGAUUCCAGAAUAUUCCCUCAUGGGAUGGCUUCAUCUACCCCCUUCCAAUCGCUACCCACAAGGGUAACCCUUUUCCAUUUCUAACAUGUAGAUUCAUGUUGACCAUUUUGUAUUUUAUAUAAAUGGAGUCAUACAGUAUGUCACCUUUUGUGUUUGAUUUCUCUCAUUCAACAUUACGUCAAUGAGAUUCAUCUGCGUUGUUGCGUGGCCCUGUAGUUCGCCCCCCUGUCCCUUUGUGACAAUGUAACACAAUUUAUCCAUUCUACUGUUAAUGGCAUCUGUCUAGCUUCGAAUAUGGAGCUACUAUGAGGAGUGCUACUAUGAACAUUUUAGUAAAUGUUUUCGGUAGACAUUGUAUACACACUCUUGUGGGCGGUAUUUUUGGAUACUGCCUGACAAUUUUCCAAAGUAGUUGUACCGAUUUUACAUUUACAUCAAUAGUGUGUGAGUGUUCCAGUUGCUCCACAUCCUUGCCAACACUUGCUGUCAUUAAUCUUUUUCAUUUGAGUCCUUCUGGGGAUAUGUCGUGGCAUCAUGUUGUGGCUUUAAUUAGAAUUUCUCUGACAGCUAAUGAAGCUGAGUACUUUUUCAUAAGUUUAUUGGCCAUUGAAUAUCAGCUGUCGUGAAAUGUCUCUCCAAGUUGUUUGCUCAGUUUUGUAUUGUGUAUUUCUGUCUUUUUCCAACUGAUUU